GAAUGUUGCUGAAGGCUCAGCUUAACUGCUUCUACAGGGAGGAUCCUUCACUAACGUGGUCAAGAAAUGCACGCAGGCUAGGAAAAAGACAUGGAUGAUCUAAAAUUCCUUUUCCAGACACCACAGUGCCAUUUGGACUGGAGUGGAAAGGCGCAGACUGGAUUUCAUCCUGAUCUAAAGUACAGAAAGUUAUUUCCCAGUGUAGUGGCGAAUGUACAACGGGGACUAAGACUGUAUUUAACUCACCUUAUUUCCCAACUCACCCAAUCACUAAAGGCUUCCCUUAUAAUUUUUUUAAUGGGAAAUUCAUCUGACAAAAUGAAGACUCAUGUUUUCCCACUGCUAAAUGGAGCCAAAGUCGAUUAGCUCAGAGGUUUACUGAUAUCAUACCAGAAUGCUGGAAAGCAUGAGAGAAGGAUUUCCUGGAUACCAUCUCUGUUCAAACAAGGAUAAAGUGCAGCCAAAGAAGGAAAGAUAAACAAAAGAUUUAAAGCGUUGCUAGAGAAGGAAAGAACUAGAUGAGAAACCACAAUCUGGAUGUAAUUAAGAGGAAUUCAGCACUGCUUUUCUCUGUGAUGCCACUCAUUACCUGUGCAAGACCUUUUCAACAUAGAAGCAGAAGACAAACACUUGCAAAGGGAAAACAACUCCCUGUAACUACAUACUGCAUCUCUCACCACGCUUUUUAAUCUCUAACACACUAGGAGCAUGUGCCAGAUAGCAUGUGUACCUUUCAGAGAUAACCUGGAGUUACACAGCCACCAGCUCAAGCAACAUGAACUUCAGCCUCACACGGCCUGUUCCAAUUUGCCCACGCUAAGCCUUCAUGUUCCCACAGCAAAUGCCAGUGCCUUGAGUUUGCUGGAUACAGAUACUCCAAGGGACUGCUUAGGUAUGCAGCUACAUCCAUGUUGGCUUUGUGUAGCUGAUGCAUCUGUUGUUGUUGUUGUUGUUGUUUUUAUUUGUUUGCUUUUGUGAAAUAAUGGAAAUUCCAAUCGUAAUUUUGGUGGGAGUUUAAGGCUGUGGGACUACCUGCCAAUGCUCAGUACCGUGCUGUUUCUAACCCUCGCAGGCAUAAAAUGUUGAGAAUGUGACUGACUAAACAGAGAUGAACACAUCAAAAACUGUUCUAGAGGUAUGCAGGAAAAAAAUAUAAAUGCUCCAUAUAUCUUUACUACAUCUGUGCUCGUUCUGCAUUUAUUUUCCCUUAAUCUUUUAGGAGAGAGACUCCCUAGGAGCAUACCGAAACUUGAAAUUAUUAUUUGUAACGUAUUUGCAAAAAAACUAGAAAGUGUGGGGGACAGUAAAAGCAAGCCUCCUUUUACACAGUGAGCUAGACUCAAAGGAGGUACACACAUCCACCUAGGAAACAAAAAGAAGACCCUUGGCCCUUCUAUCCAGCAGGUUUAAGAGCCAUAUACUCAUCAAAGAUGUCCUAUGAACAAAUAACAGUCAAUACUCACAGCAACUGAACAUUUCAAGCAAGGAAUACAUUUUUCACAAAUGCUUUGGCCAUAGAAUAAAUUGGUCCUGAUCAUCAAAUAAAUUAUUUCCUAUGACUGUUUGGUCAUCUGUCGUAACAGCGUAACAUUUUUUGUGCAUUUUCAUAGUUGGUCAGGAAUGUUACUCAGUAGUGUUUAUGUAUGUCUGGUGGAUAAAGAGUUCGGUACAGUAAAAAGCAUAUUUGAUGCCAGCAGGUGUUCAUGAGUAACCUAGGAAAAGGUCAUCUCAGUGUCAAAGGCUGCAAGAAAUGUCACAUGCUUUCCCUUAAUUAAUGCAGGCUCAGAGAGAAUCCUCAGGGAGGACCUGAGAUCAGAAGGAGGAUACAAUCAUUGUUGUACCAAUUAUGACUGCUUAUUUGAGCGUCUCCCUCUUUGUGAUUACCCCAAUUUAACCAAACAUGUAAUUUCUAAGCUGCAUCAGUUUAUCAUAACUGCUUGGAUGAGUGUUCAUUCCAUAUUUAAAUAUAGAUAGACCCAUCCUUGCCAGGUGCUGAGUUUGCUCAACUCCUACUGAAAUUAGCAGGGGCUCAGCGUUUUGCAAGGAUCACUUAGCAGUGCUCAGAAUUGGGUUCUUUAUGCAUCUUAUACAUCAAACCCAAAUCGGUGCUCCUCUAAUGUCCAUUUGCAGAGUAACCCAUAUUUCUUUUCACUCAUUUAUUAAAAAACACAUAUUAAAUAUCCACUCGGUGUAUCUUCUAAAUAAAUGUUAGUGGCUGUCACUACAAAGAUACUUAGGCAAAUUGAAUGUAUUCCUAUUCCCUUUUGCACCAUAGCAAUAUUAUGUGGCGUACUUUAGCUCUCAGCUUUUCCUUAUGUACAGAAUAUUUAUGGUCCAUUUUGGAGUUGUCAUCCAAGCACUUGGGGUCAUUUUCUUAUUAAACAGCACAAUAUUAAAGCAAUGGGGCAC
rnacentral:lncRNA from 7 species